rnacentral:rRNA from 1 species
GCGUGAGUGUCGGGUUAAGUCCCGUAACGAGCGCAACCCUUGUCCUUAGUUACCAGCACGUUAUGGUGGGCACUCUAAGGAGACUGCCGGUGACAAACCGGAGGAAGGUGGGGAUGACGUCAAGUCAUCAUGGCCCUUACGGCCUGGGCUACACACGUGCUACAAUGGUCGGUACAAAGGGUUGCCAAGCCGCGAGGUGGAGCUAAUCCCAUAAAACCGAUCGUAGUCCGGAUCGCAGUCUGCAACUCGACUGCGUGAAGUCGGAAUCGCUAGUAAUCGUGAAUCAGAAUGUCACGGUGAAUACGUUCCCGGGCCUU